UACAGAGGAUGCAAGCGUUAUCCGGAUUUACUGGGCGUAAAGAGCGCGCAGGCGGUCGUUCAAGUCGCGUGUGAAAGCCCCCGGCUCAACUGGGGAGGGUCACGCGAUACUGAUCGACUCGAAGGCAGGAGAGGGUAGUGGAAUUCCCGGUGUAGUGGUGAAAUGCGUAGAUAUCGGGAGGAACACCAGUGGCGAAGGCGACUACCUGGCCUGUUCUUGACGCUGAGGCGCGAAAGCUAGGGGAGCAAACGGG
rnacentral:rRNA from 1 species